AAAAAAAAAAAAAAAGCCUAGCGGUGGUGCGGCGGUGAUGAGACCAAUCAAGAUUUAGUUUGGUAUUGAAGUCUAUCUAACGCUAUUAGAUAGAAUAGAGUUGAGAAAAAGCAUAUAAAAAUAUACUUCUGCGUUUUUCGAUGAAAUUGUAAAAAAUAUAUUGUAACCGACUAAUCAUAAUAAACGAAACGUAAUAUUAUGUACGAAAAUAAAUAGGAUAUUUUUCUUCUUAUCGUACGUAACGCAAUCUUUCCGCAAUCUCAAACGAAGCCCAAGUUAUCUUAUAAAUAUCAGGUCAAUUUUACAGUCCAUUCUAAAUUUCAUAAUAA
rnacentral:lncRNA from 1 species